UUUUUAUGGAGAGUUUGAUCCUGGCUCAGGAUGAACGCUGGCGGCGUGCCUAAUACAUGCAAGUCGAGCGAACAGACGAGGAGCUUGCUCCUCUGACGUUAGCGGCGGACGGGUGAGUAACACGUGGAUAACCUACCUAUAAGACUGGGAUAACUUCGGGAAACCGGAGCUAAUACCGGAUAAUAUAUUGAACCGCAUGGUUCAAUAGUGAAAGACGGUUUUGCUGUCACUUAUAGAUGGAUUCGCGCCGCAUUAGCUAGUUGGUAAGGUAACGGCUUACCAAGGCAACGAUGCGUAGCCGACCU
rnacentral:rRNA from 1 species